AUGUCCUCUCUGACGUGAACUUCAUCAUCACCAUCCUCUCUCUCUCUCUCUCUCCAAUGGUUCCUGUUUGUUUCACCUCACAUCAAACUCACUCAACCUCCAUUUUUUAUUGCCUGAUUUAGCAAACCCCUCACCCGCAAAAAUUGAAACCCUUCUCUCACUCUUGAUCCGAUAUCUCUUCAAGAACACUACUUGAUCAUCAUCGUCGUCGUCGUCAUUGGAGAUGUCAUCCCCAGGACAAAGAGGAAAGAGCUUGAUGGAGGGAUCGGGAUCGGGAGAACAGCAAUCGGUGACACCGAGUCGGUACGAGUCACAGAAGAGGCGGGACUGGAACACGUUCGGACAGUACCUCAAGAACCAGAGACCACCAGUUCCUUUGUCUCAAUGCAACUGCAACCAUGUUCUUGAUUUUCUCCGUUACUUGGAUCAGUUCGGCAAGACCAAGGUCCAUGCCCCUGGCUGCAUGUUCUAUGGCCAGCCCGAGCCACCAGCGCCAUGCAUUUGCCCUCUCAGGCAGGCCUGGGGGAGCCUCGACGCCCUCAUAGGCCGCCUUAGAGCGGCCUACGAGGAGAACGGAGGCUCACCAGAGACGAACCCUUUCGCGAGUGGAGCGAUCAGGGUUUUUCUCAGGGAGGUCAGAGAGUGUCAAGCCAAGGCAAGAGGCAUCCCCUACAAGAAAAAGAAGAAGAAGCCGACACCGACAAAGGAUCAUGACUCUUCUUCUUCUUCUUCCCCCGCGUUCCACUUCUCUUAGAUUUGGCGUCUCGUCGAAUCUUGAAUCCUGCCCGGCUUCUAUCUCCAUGGGUUCUUCCACAUCUCUUGGUAGGUGUUCUCUCAUCCAUGGCACAUUAUCACGUUAAUUAUGCAAGAUGAUGCAUGCCUCUUGCCAUAGCUAAUUACGGCUGCAGCGAUGAUGAUCUCAAUGUAAAAAAGGGAUCUACAUGAUGAGCGAGAAGCCGUGCGAAAUUGUCCCCUUCGGUUCUCAUGCCCCUUUUGGCCAAUCUUCUUCCAUGUUUUUGCCUACAAUCAUCUAUAAAGCAUCAUGUUGAGUUUCGCUCUCUCCUCAUAUACAUAAAUGUUUGCUACAUAAAUAUAUAUAAUCUCUAAGCAUUUAUUUUGAAAUAUGUAAUAUUCUAUAUGGGUUUUAUAUUCCUGGUUUGUUUUUUUCUGUUUUGUAAUUCAAUGUGCUUUGUUGAACGUAUUUGGCCAAGGAUGAUAUUGGUGGCAUAUCUUACAACC